CCUACGGGCGGCUGCAGUGGGGAAUAUUGGGCAAUGGGCGAAAGCCUGACCCAGCAACGCCGCGUGAAGGAAGAAGGCUUUCGGGUUGUAAACUUCUUUUGACAGGGAAGAGCAGCAGACUGUACCUGUCGAAUAAGCCACGGCUAACUACGGGCCAGCAGCCGCGGUAAUAGGUAGGUGGCAAGCGUUGUCCGGAUUUACUGGGUGUAAAGGGCGUGUAGCCGGGCUGACAAGUCAGAUGGGAACUCCGGGGGCUCAACCCCCGAACUGCAUUUGAAACUGUUGGUCUUGAGUAUCGGAGAGGCAGGCGGAAUUCCUAGUGUAGCGGUGAAAUGCGUAGAUAUUAGGAGGAACACCCGUGGCGAAGGCGGCCUGCUGGACGACAACUGACGGU
rnacentral:rRNA from 1 species